GACGAACGCUGGCGGCGUGCUUAACACAUGCAAGUCGAACGGAAAGGCCCUUCGGGGUACUCGAGUGGCGAACGGGUGAGUAACACGUGGGUGAUCUGCCCUGCACUUUGGGAUAAGCCUGGGAAACUGGGUCUAAUACCGAAUAUGAUCAUCAGCUUCAUGGUUGGUGGUGGAAAGCUUUUGCGGUGUGGGAUGGGCCCGCGGCCUAUCAGCUUGUUGGUGGGGUAAUGGCCUACCAAGGCGACGACGGGUAGCCGGCCUGAGAGGGUGACCGGCCACAGUGGGACUGAGAUACGGCCCAGGCUCCUACGGGAGGCAGCAGUGGGGAAUAUUGCACGAUGGGCGCAAGCCUGAUGCAGCGACGCCGCGUGAGGGAUGACGGCCUUCGGGUUGUAAACCUCUUUCAGCACAGACGAAGCGCAAGUGACGGUAUGUGCAGAAGAAGGACCGGCCAACUACGUGCCAGCCGCCGCAGUAA
rnacentral:rRNA from 1 species